rnacentral:rRNA from 1 species
ACGGAAGGCAGCAGUGGGGGAUAUUGCACAAUGGGGGAAACCCUGAUGCAGCGACGCCGCGUGAGCGAAGAAGUGCUUCGGCAUGUAAAGCUCUAUCAGCAGGGAAGAAAAUGACGAUACCUGACUAAGAAGCCCCGGCUAACUACGUGCCAGCAGCCGCGGUAAUACGUAGGGGGCAAGCGUUAUCCGGAUUCACUGGGUGUAAAGGGAGCGUAGGCGGCAUGGCAAGUCAGUCGUUAAAGACCAGAGCUUAACUCUGGACCAGCGAUUGAAACUGUCAAGCUAGAGUACAGGAGAGGUUAGUGGAAUUACUAGUGUAGAGGUGGAAUUCGUAGAUAUUAGUAAGAACACCAAUGGCGAAGGCAGCUAACUGGCCUGAAACUGACGCUGAGGCACGAAAGUGUGGGGAGCAAACAGGAUUAGAUACCCUGGUA